rnacentral:SRP_RNA from 2 species
GCUGGACAUGGUGGUGCAUGCCUGUAAUCCCAGCUACUUGGGAGGCUGAGGCAGGAGAAUCGUUUGAAUCCAGGAGGCAGAGGUUGCAGUGAGCUGAGAUGGAGCCACUGUACUCCAGCCUGGAUGACAGGGUGAGACUCUGUCUCAA